ensembl:lncRNA
AGUGUAAGCAUCAGGAGCACUGUGUACUGCAGUGUGUCUCUACAUGCUCGCUUUACUACAACGCUCAACUUGGGAGACAAGAAGCGUCACUUCUCUGAACUCUUUUACUGGAACGCCAUCCCAUCUCUCUCUCUCUCCAUCAGACACGCUCGUACACACAAAUGGAGAAUAUGUCUUGGUGCUGAAGUAUUGCUGAAGUUCAAACUGGGCCACUGGAUACAUCUAUUUUGGUCCACUCAGUGGCACCAGUCCCACUGGACACGCACCCACACACGGACAACAUCGCAGAGUUCAGGAUCCAUGGAAGAGUUGGACGCCAAAAUCUUUUGUGCCUCUUGCAUGCACAGUCCAAGUACCACCAUGAGAGGUGAGGGGUGCCGGACACGUCUCUGAGAGAUGGCUGGGAGAGCGUGGCGCAUUAAAAAUACAGGUCCCCACAAGAGAUUUCUGGUCUCAGCUAGUGCUAUAAAUCAAUAGCCGUGCACUCUUCAUCAAGACAUUUCUACCCGGCUACAAACGGAAUGGCUUUCUUGAGCACUUGCUGACCAGAAGCCACACUCCAGAGGAUACUAUUUUUGUGGACGUCUGAAGUCUAUUUCGCACUGCGGCUCUGAAAAAACACUGGAUGAUUAAACAAUGUAUUUAUAUAUAUAUGCAUAGCUGAUAAAGCUGAUAAGUCUUUAAACCACCUGUCAAUGUUCUUUUUUUUAUGCUUACGCUGACACUUCCUUCAAAGCUUUUGCCACUUCAGAGAAUAUUCCUAUCAGCUUUGGACUGUCUAAAUCGCAGCUAUUUUUACUCCACUACAUAUUUAGAUAAAAGUCUCCCAUUACAGAAUUCUGUUCAAAACAUUUUGUCUGAAUGAGUGACAGCAGAAGGGAGGUUCACUCUCUAAAAUCUUCACAAUUUUACAACCUGUCUACAGUCUGUUGCUAAUCAUGGUUUUCCGUCAUCAGAAGUGACUUCCAUCUUUUUUCAUGCAAAAUGAAACACAUUAGCAUAUUUAUGGGCUGAGAUAUAUCCAAACGUGUACAACGUGCUACAUGGAUCUUGCAUUCAGUCAUCAAGCGAAGGAACAAAUAGCUUCUGAGAUGUGAAGAAAAUGGAACAUUCAAGAGCUCUGUGCAUUUAAACACAUGGACUAAAAUCACAGGGUUAACUUGGGAGGAGAUGGAGGAGCACAUGAGUUAGUUUCCUUGCUAAGGUUAAUGCUUGUAUCUGUGUGAAAUCAACCUUAAAACUAUUUAAAUUGUUGUUACUGCCAUCAUAUAAAUGACAUAUUCAUAAAAGUAAAAUUGUUGGCCAUAUCAGCCGGAAAGCAUUAGUUGGUG